UUUCCCUCAGGAUAGCUGGCACUCGCUUGAGCGAGUCUCAUCUGGUAAAGCGAAUGAUUAGAGGCCUUGGGGCCGAAACGACCUCAACCUAUUCUCAAACUUUAAAUGGGUGAGAUCUCUGGCUUGCUUGAACACUGAAGCCACGAGAGUUUUAACAAGGAUCAGAGUGCCUAGUGGGCCAAUUUUGGUAAGCAGAACUGGCGCUGUGGGA
rnacentral:rRNA from 1 species